GACGAACGCUGGCGGCGUGCUUAACACAUGCAAGUCGAACGGAGUGGCGAACGGGUGAGUAACACGUGGGUGAUCUGCCUUGCCCUUCGGGAUAAGCUUGGGAAAAUGGGUCUAAUACCGGAUAGUGCAAGCUGCGCGCGCAGCCUAUCAGCUUGUUGGGGGGGUAAUGGCCUACCAAGGCGUCGACGGGUAGCCGGCCUGUGAGGGUGUACGGCCGCAUUGGGACUGAGAGACGGCCCAGACACCUACGGGAGGCAGCAGUGGGGAAUAUUGCACAAUGGGCGGAAGCCUGAUGCAGCGACGCCGCGUGUGGGAUGAAGGCCUUGGGGUUGUAAACUCCUUACGAAAGGGACGCGGUACCUGUAUAAGAAGCACCGGCUAACUACGUGCCAGCAGCCGCGGUAAUAC
rnacentral:rRNA from 1 species